GUCCUUUAGAAUUUAAUUUAAGGUCUGACCUGCCCAGUGAUUAAUUUAACGGCCGCGGUACACUGACCGUGCAAAGGUAGCAUAAUCAUUAGUCUUUUAAUAGAGGGCUGGAAUGAAAGGUUUAACGAGGAACUGACUGUCUUAUUUUAUUUGUUUUAAAAUUUAAUUUUUUAGUCAAAAAGCUAAAAUAAUAUUGGUAGACGAGAAGACCCUAUAGAUCUUUAUAUACUAUUAUUUGAUUAUUUUUAUAUCAAUAUUUUUAUUUAAUAAUAUAUUUUGUUGGGGUGACAAAAAUAUACAAUAAACUUUUUUAUUUUAUUAACAUUGAUUUAUGAAUAUAUGAUCCAUUACUACUGAUUAUUAGAUUAAGUUACCUUAGGGAUAACAGCGUAAUUUUCUUCCAGAGUUCAUAUUUACGAGAAAGUUUGCGACCUCGAUGUUGGAUUAAGAUAAUAACUAGGUGUAGCCGCUUAGCAUAUAGGUCUGUUCGACCUUUAAAUUCUU
rnacentral:rRNA from 1 species